UUACUAAAAAUACUUAUUUUAUUUAAAUUUUAUUUAAUUUCAAUUUAUACUGUAAAGGAAAAUUUUACUAAAUAAAAGAAAUUUAUUUUUCCUUUUGUAUCAGGAAUCUUCUAUAACUUCUAAAUUUUUAUUUUUCCUGAAAAAAGGUCAUCUAUAAAUUUAUUUAAAUAUUGUUUCAAAAAUAUUGUUAAUAAAUCUAUUGAAGUUAAACUCUAUUCGAACCUUUUAAUAUCCGGUUUCUUUAACUUUUUAAAAAAUACUUAUAUUCAAAAAGAUAAUUUUUUGAAUAUAUUUAAUAUUAUAUUUAUAUUUUCUAGGAAUAAAAGUAUCCAAAAAGUUUCAAAACUAAUAUUUUUAAGUAAUAAAAUUUUAUAAUAAAGAUUCUAUUAAAUAAUUUUAAUAAUGAAAAUAUAAGUAGAAAUUUCUUAUUAUUAAUUAAAUAACUAGGCAAAAAAUUGAAUGACUGUUUACCAAAAACAUUUCUUAUAAAUAUAAUUUUAAGUAACACCUGCUCAAUGAAUUUUAAAUAGCCGCGGAAAUUUAACCGUGCUAAGGUAGCAUAAUCAUUAGCCUCUUAAUUAGAGGCUCGUAUGAACGGUGAAACAUUUCAAUUUCUUUUUUAAUUAAUUUAUUUUAAUUUAAAUUAAGAAUAAAAAUGUUCUUAUUAUUAAAAAAGACGAUAAGACCCUUUUGAACUUUACUUUAGUUUAGCUGGGGCAGCUAAUUAAAAAUUAUCUUACAUUUUUAUUUUUAAAUCAAUGACCCAAUAAAAUUGAUUAUUUGAACAAGUUACCAUAGGGAUAACAGCGUAAUAUCUUUUUAAAGCUCUUAUUAAAAAAGAAGAUUGCGACCUCGAUGUUGAAUUAAUGUUACUAACUGAUGCAAUAAUUUUAAAAGUAGGUCUGUUCGACCUUUAAAACAUUACAUGAUUUGAGUUCAAAUCGGUGUAAACCAGAUUGGUUUCUAUCUUUUAAAUUAAUUUAUUUAGUACGAAAGGACCAAUAAAUUUAUUUUUAAU
rnacentral:rRNA from 1 species